rnacentral:rRNA from 1 species
UACGUAGGGAGCGAGCGUUGUCCGGAUUUACUGGGUGUAAAGGGUGCGUAGGCGGCUAUGCAAGUCAGUAGUGAAAUCCAAGGGCUUAACCCAUGAACUGCUAUUGAAACUGCACAGCUUGAGUGAAGUAGAGGUAGGCGGAAUUCCCGGUGUAGCGGUGAAAUGCGUAGAGAUCGGGAGGAACACCAGUGGCGAAGGCGGCCUACUGGGCUUUAACUGACGCUGAGGCACGAAAGCGUGGGUAGCAAACAGG